CCUACGGGUGGCAGCAGUGAGGAAUAUUGGUCAAUGGGCGCGAGCCUGAACCAGCCAAGUAGCGUGAAGGAUGACUGCCCUACGGGUUGUAAACUUCUUUUAUAAAGGAAUAAAGUGAGGCACGUGUGCCUUUUUGUAUGUACUUUAUGAAUAAGGAUCGGCUAACUCCGUGCCAGCAGCGGCGGUAAUACGGAGGAUCCGAGGUUUAUCGGGUUUUAUUGGGUUUAAAGGGAGCGUAGAUGGGUUGUUAAGUCAGUUGUGAAAGUUUGCGGCUCAACCGUAAAAUUGCAAUUGAUACUGGCGGUCUUGAGUACAGUUGAGGGAGGCGGAAUUCGUGGUGUAGCGGUGAAAUGCUUAGAUAUAACGAAGAACUCCGAUUGCGAAGGCAGCUUACUAAACUGCCACUGACAUUGAUGCUCGAAAGUGUGGGUAUCAAACAGGAUUAGAUACCCGAGUAUC
rnacentral:rRNA from 1 species